GGGGGGCCCUGGGCUGAAGUUCCAGGGACCUUAAGACUACGCAGGAAGACCCCAAACCUCUCUUCAGUAGCCACAAGUCCAAGCCAACAGAGAGUUCCAGAGAACCGCAGAGGCAUGGGUGUGCUCAUUACACCCUGAGUGGAACAGGGAACAGUCACCUGAAGAGUUUCUGGGGUGAAUUCUUAAGGAAAGAAUAUACAUCUUUAGCCUACUCACUUUGUUUGGAAUUUUGUCAGAGUUUUUUUUUUUUUUUAAAUCCCAAA
rnacentral:lncRNA from 1 species